GCCAGGCGCAGUGGCACAUGCCUGUAAUCCCAGCAGCUCAGGAGGCUGAGGCAGGAUGAUUCCAAGUUUGAAGGAGGUCCUAAGUUUAGUAGGAUCCUGUCUCAA
rnacentral:sRNA from 1 species